AGCAGGCUCCAUGCUUACUCACAGCUUUGCCAGGCAUACGAUCAGAACAGAGCCAUCUGAGGGCGAGGGAGGUUCUAUUUCUGAUAGCUUGAACCCUAACAUGAUGCAGAGACGCUGAAAGGGACAUUCAAAGAGGGGAAGUGACCUACUCAGCACUCGCAGAAAGACCAGGAUGCAGGUUUGUUUGUCUCCAAAGGCUACACUCUCCCCUUGUACCCCCAUCACCUCCCGAAUGUUUUAUACUCUUACUAAAAUGCUGCUAGACACACUGCACUUUGUCCACCUUGGGAUGAGAAAUAAAUGACAUCUCAAGUGCCAAUACUGAUACACUGGUGGAACCAGGAAAAUGUAAUGUUUCCUGGAAAACUGGUCUAUUUCACCGAAACAUUGACGUUGAGGACACAGCACGCAUCUGCUAGCAGGAGGGAUCAGUAGAAAGACCAGAAGUCCAGAGGAUGGUGGAGCAGAAAGCAAGCAAGCACCUGGGUCCCUGCUGGGAUGGCUGAGCCCCUGAAAGCAGCCCUGGAACUCCCUUCUUCAGUGAAUCCUAACAUCUGUAUUUAUUUGGGCCACGAGUGCAUGUUAUGGUAAUCUGCUGUUGAAACAUCCUAGUUGAUCACGGUCCAUAGCAACUAUUAGAAAGUAUUGGAGGCCUUCCCUGGUGGCGCAGUGGAUAAGGAUCCGCCUGCCAAUGCAGGGGACACAUGUUCGAUCCCUGGUCUGGGAAGAUCCCACAUGCCGCGGAGCAGCUAAGCCCACAGCUGUGCGCCACAGCUACUGAGCCUGCGCUCUAGAGCCCGUGAGCCACAACUACUGAAACCCGCGUGCCUAGAGCCAGUGCUCCGCAACGAGAGAAGCCAACGCAUUGGGAAGCCCGCGCACCGCAAUGAAGAGUAGCCCCCGCUCACCUCAUCUAGAGAAAGCCCACGUGUCCCAACGAAGACCCAACGCAGCCAAAAAUAAAUUAAUUAAUUAAGGUACUGGAGUUCUGAGGCUGCCUCUCUGACAUACUUCUGACAUGAGUUUUGCUGCUCUAGAGCUUUCUGCCGAGAAGCUUCCUUAUCCACAGGGUCCUAACUCCAAACUGGACUUCAGACUAAACGAAUUCCGCCUCUUCACCAACCUUGGGGUUGCCGUCUUGCCAGCUCGGUAAACGGCACCGUCAGAGGUUGUGGAGUCGUCCUGAACUCUUGGCUCUCCAUGUCCCCACAUCCCCUCAGUUACCAAGUCCGGGUGGCCCUGCCCUCUAGUCUCCAGGGAAUUGGUCCCCUGCUCGCCUUGCCUGUCUACCCACUGCAGCCCUGUCUUUCCUUGUCCAGGUGGCUGGUACCCUGACUCUAGCCCAUCCUCCACCCCAGCUCAGAGAGAACAUUCUAAAGCACAAAGCUGGCCGCCUCGCCGCAUGCUUAAAAAUCCUCUCAUGGAUCUACAUUUCCUGAAGAUAAAAUCCAAAUGUCUAGACCUGACAUCUAAGACCUUUUGUUACCAGAUCCCUGCUCACUCCUCCAACCUUAUCUACAGCUGCUCCCCAAGGCACAACCUGCAUUCUGUUCAAACAGGCGGCAGCCACCCAGAGGCCCGUCUCCAUUCCUCCCCACCUUUAACCAGGCUCUUCCCUUGACUGAACGGCCCCUUCCUUGAUUAUCUCUCUCAUUCUUCAGCUCAGCUCUGGCCUCCCAGGCCCACCCCCUCCCAUCUGGUCAGCCCAGAUGGGGCGCCUCCUCUGGUCCUCUAUACCCUCUGGCGUCACUUAUCACCUGGUGUCAGGAGGCUUUCUUGGCUUUGGGGUUUUUAAGACGAGAUUCUCAGGAGAUUGGAAAGAUCUCAUGGCUUAGUUAAAAACAUUUGGAGGAAGAGUUGAGCAGAGCAAGGUGCUCCCCACUCCCCUGUUGGCCAGAAAAAUGUCCCCCGGGGCUGUACAGAAAAGGACUAGGAAGAGGAGGAAUGAGAAAGUUGCUGUCCCGGCUAAAAAGGGCUGCAUGCUCUGCUCCCAGGGCCAGGUGUGGGGACAAAGACAAAUUUCCCAGAGGGACAACCUGUGGGAUCUCUGAGCAGAAGGGAAGGAGGACCCCCAGGGAGGAAGGAAAGCCCAAAAGAGCAGAAGUGUCCACAUGGCAUGUAGGCGAUUGGGAACUUAGACAUCUCAGAGUUUCCCACAAUCCUGUGAGGCAUAAGAAGUAAUACAAUGACUCCUGUGAGCCCCAUAAUGUCACGGAGGUAACAGGGUCACCUGAUCUGAGACAGGGCACAAACAUGGUGACCUGCAUUGACCAAUGGCUGAAAGAUAAAUGCCACUGAAACUGACAUCGAUGACCGGUGGCCUCCCUCCCAUCACCUUUGCACACCAAGCACAGAUGUGAUUGCCGGGGAAUGGAGGGGAUGGAUUGGCUGUGACUCAGCUGUGAUCCAACCCGGCAAAAUGGAGGCUCAAAACAGAAACUGAACUUAGUUCGGUAUAAUAAAGAAAUACCUAUUUUCUAUUUAUCCCACACCUGAGUUUGUAGACUGAAAAUCAUACCCAUUACAAGUGAAUGAAGGAAUGAAUACAGUCGAUCAAAGAAGCUUCGCCAGAAAAACACAUGUAUUCAGAGCUGGGUCCUGACCUGAAAUAGGGGUCUGUCUCUUUCCCCUAUUUGGACUUCUGGGGCAGCCCAGUAUGAGAUGUCAAGAAUCUGUGAGUUGGGCUUCCCUGGGGGUGCAGUGGUUGAGAGUCCGCCUGCCGAUGCAGGGGACACAGGUUCAUGCCCCGGUCCGGGAAGAUCCCACAUGCCGCAGAGCGGCUGGGCCCGUGAGCCAUGGCCGCUGAGCCUGCGCAUCCGGAGCCUGUGGUCCGCAACGGGAGAGGCCACAACAGUGAGAGGCCCGCAUACUGCAAAAAAAAAAAAAGAAAAAAAAAGAAUCUGUGAGCUAGGGACUUCCGUGGUGGUCCAGUGCGUGGAACUCCACGCUUCCGAUGCGGGGGGCCCAGGUUCGAUCCCUGGUCGGGGGAACUAGAUCCCACAUGCAUGCUGCGACUAAGAGUUCGCAUGCCGCAACUCAACAUGCUGCAGUGAAGGUCCUGCAUGCCAAAAUAAAUAAAUGUUAAAAAAAAAAAUAAUCCGUGAGCUAGAUCCAAAGUCCGUCUGCUUGAUGAUUACAGCUACAGCUAAAGGGUCCCAAUGCAGCCAACCUCAUAAGAGAGAGAACUGAAUGGUCAGGGUCCAGGCUUCUGCUUGAAGGUAACCUCCUGGGCUACCCAGGGCUGAGUGAAGGCACCCCUCCUUCCCGUGACUCAGGGGAAGGGUGGUCAGGAGGGGCUUCUCUGCAAAAAUGAGGCUGGAGAAGAAAUCUGAAAUUAGGCAGUGAGGAAGGGAAGAGCUACCAAGCAGACAGAACUGUACGUGCAAAGGCCCUGUGGUAGAAAGGAGCUGGGCUUGUUCAUUGAAGGAAAUAGACUCCUAUGUCAGGAACCCAGAGAGAGAAGGUGAGUGAUGAAGCAGGACAUUGAUUGGUGCUUCUAAAACGUUCCCCCCUCCCUCCCCUUUAGUUGGGCUGGACCUAGUGACUUGUUUAUAACAAAUAGAAUGAGAUAGCAAUGGGAUGCCACCUCCAAGAUUAGGUUAUAAAAGACCUCUUGCUCCCACUCUGUCUCUGGUUUUCUCACUUGCUUGUUCCGAUGAAGCAAGCUGCCAUAUUGUAAGCUGCCCUACGGAGAAGCCCUCGUGGCAAGAAACCGAGGAAGCUUCCGGCCAACAGCCAGCAAGGAGCUAAAUCCUGCCAACAACCGCAUGAGUGAGCUUGGAAGCAGAUCGACCCUGAGUUGAGCCUUGAAAUGACUGCAGCCUCAUCGGAUAACUUGGUUGCAGCCUUGUGAGAAGCCCUGAGCCAGAGGACCCCAGCUUCUCACAGAGGACACCCACAUUCCUGACCCACAGGAACUGUGAUGUAAUAAACCCAUGUUGUUUUCUGAGUCACUAAGUUUGGGGGUCAUUUGUUACACAGUGAUAGAGAACUAAUGCAGCUGAUAAGGUAGGUAGGUGGGAGAUAAUGCAAAAUAUUUUCGAUUUCAGUGGUCAGUCUUAGGGUUUUUAGUAAAUUCUCCACAUGGAACUUGUGUGUAAUUCACCUAAGCUUCUGACUCUGAACCUUUCUGAUUCAUUAAAUCUAGGUAGCAUUUGAAGUUGGAUGUAAGCUAAUGCUAGAUUUUCUAACAUGGAAGCGGUAGGGGGCAACAGGAGGUUGGAAGGGAGACAGGAACUCACCUUUGCUGACAACCUAUGGAGGACCAGGUUCUCAAGAUGCUUUUGGUUCCUGGGGAAAUAUUCCCAGUGUUGACCUAGGCAGCCCUUUCCAGUGAAAUUGAAGAAGCUUUGAAUCGGCUAUGGAAGGGACAACAUUCUCCCAUUUCUCCUUAUUAAUAGAACCCCUAUAUUAUUGGGGGGUCCACUCACCCAGUCCAUUUCCCAGCCUCCCUGGCUGUAGGGGGAGCCAAUAAGCUAUAAGCAGAAAUCAUUGGAUGGAGUUUCUGGUAGGUUUUUGUUUGUUUGUUUUUAAAAUUUUUAAAUGCUGACUCAUCUGAGAGGUGCACGCUCUUAUACUUCUCUUUCUCCUUGCUGGUGCCUGGAAUGGUGGCAUGAUGGCUGGUGCUCUGGCAGCAUUUAUGACCAUGCAAUGACCUUCACAGUGGAAGCCACACUGUUGAUGGUUGAGCACAAUUUUGGUAAGCCACAGCUGUCCACGUAGCUCUAAGGCGGAUUAUUUUGGAGGAUGGUGAACAUGUGGCACACAGCAAAGGAGGGAAAAUCACUAUCAUAAAAUAGCGUCAAAGCAAUAAAUGCAGAUCAUGGGAUUCAUGAGGACGACAACGCAACAGUGUCCAUGAAUAUUCAAUCAGCGCAUUCUGGGAACCUCCUCUAAGCUCUGGGAAGCCCUGACAAUUAGCAGCCUUCUGCCGGACUUCUUAAUGUCCAAAGGAAAUCAGCACAGGCAACUUCUCCAGAUUUCAAUUUGCCCUCAAAUUUCAGCCCCAAGCCUCAAUAACAUCUCUGUUCCUCACUCCCUCCAUUUCAAAGGAGAGUUGGAGAGACACACCUGCCUUUGGCUUCUUUUUGUGAAAGUUAAAGCAAAUGCCCAGGGCACAGGUCUUUUCUCUUCACAAGGAAGAGGAAAGGAAGAGCGGGCUUUGUAAAAAUCAUUCCCCAGGCACUGAGAUUGCUGCUAAAGCUUGAAGGUCACCUGUGUUGUUAUGAAUGUUAUUUUUUUUCCAUAAACCUGAACUGAAUUGUAGUCCAGACAAAACAAUGUCUGCCUCAAAACAAAACAAACCUAAACCUGUAAGCCACGAGAUAUAGGAUGGGGGCAGGGGCGGGGUGCAAGGAGGCACAGGCUUUGAACCCAGACAGAUUUUGGUUUGAUUCCCAGCUCUGCCAAGCACUGGCCCCAAGUCCUCGACCACAUCACUGCACAUCUCUGGACCUCUGUCUUCUCAUCCGAAAAACAGGGACAACACUGUCUACCUCAAUGAUUCUUUGUCAGAGCCUUUGACCAAAAUGAGAUGAUAUAUGAAAAGCCCCGGACACAGAAGCACAAUCAAUAAGAGUUUUCAUUAAGUGUGACUGCCACUAUGGGGUCAUCAAUCCCCCAGCAGCAUUUAAAGCAGAGUUCCAGGAUGGUUCUGCUGCUACGAGGAACCUUGAAAAAUCACUGAACCUCUAAACCUCAUUUUCCAGAUAAGGAGACUGAGGCCCAGAGAGGUAAAUUAGAAUGGAAAUAGGGGGGCAAAAGCUGGAAAUGUCACAGAAAGUCUGUUCCAGGGCCAGUACUGCUGACUCAAGGGGCUGGAGAGGGACAGACAAGAUGAUAAGGAUUUUCGAAACUUAUUUACAAAGCCACGCCCACAACCUCGACGCCGGUGACGUCAGUGCCUCAGUCAAGUGCCCCAGUGAUCCCACCGCAGGAUUUGCAGCGGGGUUCAAGGCUGUGGGCGGACUGACUGGUCAGCAGAAGGGGUCCUUUAGGUCAGUUCCCUUGCCGUGAAGUGAAAAUAAUACCUCCAUCUCAGGCUAGUCGUAAAGACAAAUACUAUGCAGAAUAAAAUAGCUGCUAACUCUUCUGAGUGGCAGGCACUAUGCCGACUGCACCCCAAACAUUCGCCAUUGGUCCCCAACAGCCACAGGAGGCAGGAGUCAGUCAUUUCCUCUCAUUUGACAGAUGGAGAAGCUGAGGCUUGUGGAGAUGAAAUAACCCACUCAAGGUCACACAGCUGCUAAGUGGAAGGAAGAGUGGGCCUUGACCACAGUCUGUCUGUCAGAUUCCUGAUUUCUGUGCUCUUACUCAUGGCACUGUUCUGGACACAGCUGGUGGGCCCUCGGUAAGUGGCCACCACAACCAGCAGUGACAGGGGACAGCUCUGCCACCCCAGAAGGAAAGGAAGGCCACUGACACGCAGACCCUUGUACUCAAAUUGUUUGGGUCUAGCAGACUGUUACUGAGUCCAGGCUCAUACUACUUGCCUCAGGACAGGCCAAUAAAUCGGGAGACGAGGUGUUGGGGCAGGGAGUGUUGACUUUAUCUGGAAAGCCAGCAAACAGAGAAGAUGAUGGACCCGUGUCCCAAAGAACCAUCUUUCCUGAGUUAGAAUUCAGGCUUCUUUUAUGCCAAAAGGGGAGGGGUGUGGCUGAUUGUUGCAAACUUCUGGGUGCUGGAAUUCUUUGCUCUUACAGCUGUCCAUGCAGGUGUGGUCACAAUGUUCCUAUAAACUUCCAAUGAGACAAAUGUUAUUCUCUGUUCUGCCACUUUUUAUCUCUAUAUGAAUGCAAAAAUGUUGUUCCUUUAAAGGUCAGAGCCUUGAGAAUGGGCUACCUUGUAUUUUUCAGGCUAUUGGCAACAUUCUUAACUUGUAGCAAAAGCAACAGAAUGCAAAGGUUAAAGUAAAAGAAACAGAUCCAAUAUGGAGUCAGAUUUGUUCUUCCCUAUUACAGUCCAUCCUUCCUAACACCUCUGAGUGGACUGGCUGGGAGGGACAAUGAAAGGACAGGCUUCUUGCCUCCUGUCUUAGGCGGCUAGGGCUGCCACACAAACCACCACAGACUGGGGAGCUCAAACAAUAGAAGUUUAUUUCCUCACAAUUCUACAGGCUAGAAGUCCAAGGUCAAGGUGUCAGCAGGGUUGGUUUCUUCUUGUAGAGGGUCGCCUUCUCCCUGUGCCUUCGAAUGGGCUUCCCUCUGUUGUCUCUGUCCUUACUUCCUCUCUUUAUACGGCCAUCGGUCAUAUUGGAACGCAUUUUAACCUAGUUACCUCCGUAAAGACCCUAUCUCCAAAUACAGUCACAGUCUGGUACUAGGGGUUUCUUGUCCGUCUCCUCCAUUAAAACGUCAGAUUCACGAAGACAGAAAUUUCAGUUUGUCCCAACUGUAUCCCCAGCACUAAAAAUGG